rnacentral:vault_RNA from 1 species
GCACCGGUUUAGCUCAGUGGUUACUUCCUACACCGAAGUUUCCAUUCUACGGUCCGCGGGCUGCAGGGUUCGACCACGGGCGCUGUCCGGUGUUUUG